UGAGUAAUGCCUAGGAAUCUGCCUGGUAGUGGGGGACAACGUUUCGAAAGGAACGCUAAUACCGCAUACGUCCUACGGGAGAAAGUGGGGGAUCUUCGGACCUCACGCUAUCAGAUGAGCCUAGGUCGGAUUAGCUAGUUGGUGAGGUAAUGGCUCACCAAGGCGACGAUCCGUAACUGGUCUGAGAGGAUGAUCAGUCACACUGGAACUGAGACACGGUCCAGACUCCUACGGGAGGCAGCAGUGGGGAAUAUUGGACAAUGGGCGAAAGCCUGAUCCAGCCAUGCCGCGUGUGUGAAGAAGGUCUUCGGAUUGUAAAGCACUUUAAGUUGGGAGGAAGGGCAGUAAGUUAAUACCUUGCUGUUUUGACGUUACCGACAGAAUAAGCACCGGCUAACUCUGUGCCAGCAGCCGCGGUAAUACAGAGGGUGCAAGCGUUAAUCGGAAUUACUGGGCGUAAAGCGCGCGUAGGUGGUUCGUUAAGUUGGAUGUGAAAUCCCCGGGCUCAACCUGGGAACUGCAUCCAAAACUGGCGAGCUAGAGUACGGUAGAGGGUGGUGGAAUUUCCUGUGUAGCGGUGAAAUGCGUAGAUAUAGGAAGGAACACCAGUG
rnacentral:rRNA from 1 species